rnacentral:rRNA from 1 species
GACGAACGCUGGCGGCGUGCCUAAUACAUGCAGGUAGAACGCUGAAGGGAGAGCUUGCUCUUCUGGAUGAGUUGCGAACGGGUGAGUAACGCGUAGGUAACCUGCCUGGUAGCGGGGGAUAACUAUUGGAAACGAUAGCUAAUACCGCAUAAUAGCAGUUAUUGCAUGAUAACUGUUUGAAAGGUGCAAUUGCACCACUACCGGAUGGACCUGCGUUGUAUUAGCUAGUUGGUGGGGUAACGGCUCACCAAGGCAACGAUACAUAGCCGACCUGAGAGGGUGAUCGGCCACACUGGGACUGAGACACGGCCCAGACUCCUACGGGAGGCAGCAGUAGGGAAUCUUCGGCAAUGGACGGAAGUCUGACCGAGCAACGCCGCGUGAGUGAAGAAGGUUUUCGGAUCGUAAAGCUCUGUUGUAAGAGAAGAACGAGUGUGAGAGUGGAAAGUUCACACUGUGACG